rnacentral:rRNA from 1 species
UGCCAGCCGCCGCGGUAAUACAGAGGGUGCAAGCGUUAAUCGGAAUUACUGGGCGUAAAGGGCGCGUAGGUGGUUUAUCAAGUCGGAUGUGAAAGCCCCGGGCUCAACCUGGGAUGGACAUACGAUACUGGUAGACUCGAGUUUGGGAGAGGGAAGUGGAAUUUCCAAUGUAGCGGUGAAAUGCGUAGAUAUUGGAAGGAACAUCAGUGGCGAAGGCGACUUCCUGGCCCAAAACUGACACUGAGGCGCGAAAGCGUGGGUAGCAAACAGGAUUAGAUA